rnacentral:rRNA from 1 species
GAUGAACGCUGGCGGCGUGCCUAACACAUGCAAGUCGAACGGCAAGGCCCUAACGGGGGUACACGAGUGGUGGAGGGGGGCGUAAGAGGUGAGUAACCAUCCCACACCUCUGGGACAAGGGUAGGAAAGUGGGGCUAAUACUGGUAAUGUGCCAUAGCUGCAUGGUGGGGGUUGGAAAGCUCCGGCGGUUGUGGAUGGACUCGCGGGCUAACAGCCUGUUGGGGGGGUAGUGGCGUACCAAGGCGGCGACGGGUAGCCGGCCUGAGGGAGUGACCGGCCGCAUUGGGACUGACAUGCGGCCCCAGCUCCUAAUGGGGGCCGAAGGGGGGAAGAUUGCACCAGGGGCGCCAGCCUGAUGCAGCAAGGCCGCGGGCGGGAAAACGGCCUUCGGGUUGUAAACCGCUUUCAGCAGGGACCAAGGUUUUUGUGACGGUACCUGCAGAAGAAGCACCGGCUAACUUCGUG